GCAGACACAUUCCAGCCAAUCAGCAGCAGACCCUCCCUCCCAGACCCUCCCACCUCCUGGACAGCAUCCAUUUUGCAUUCAUUGUGAAUGCAUUCUUAGUGAGCUGUCCAGGAGGUGGGAGGGUCUGGGAGGGAGGGUCUGCUGCUGAUUGGCUGGAAUGUGUCUG
rnacentral:miRNA from 1 species